rnacentral:rRNA from 1 species
GCAUAUCAAUAAGCGGAGGAAAAGAAACUAACAAGGAUUCCCCUAGUAACGGCGAGUGAACAGGGAAGAGCUCAAAUUUGUAAUCUGGCGUCCCUUGGGCGUCCGAGUUGUAAUCUAUAGAAGCGUUUUCCGUGCUGGACCAUGUCCAAGUCCCUUGGAACAGGGUAUCAAAGAGGGUGACAAUCCCGUGCUUGACAUGACGACCAGUGCUCUGUGAUACGCUCUCUACGAGUCGAGUUGUUUGGGAAUGCAGCUCAAAAUGGGUGGUGAGUUCCAUCUAAAGCUAAAUAUUGGCGAGAGACCGAUAGCGAACAAGUACCGUGAGGGAAAGAUGAAAAGCACUUUGGAAAGAGAGUUAAACAGUACGUGAAAUUGUUGAAAGGGAAACGAUUGAAGUCAGUCGUGUCCGAGGGGUUCAGCCGGUCAUGCCGGUGUAUUCCCCUCGGAUGGGUCAACGUCAGUUUGGACCGGUGGAAAAGGGCAGUUGGAAGGUGGCAGCUCCGGCUGUGUUAUAGCCUUCUGUCGCACACGCCGGUCUAGACUGAGGCAUGCAGCUCGCCCUCGUGGCUGGGGUUCUCCCACAUUCGAGCUUAGGAUGUUGACAUAAUGGCUUUAAACGACCCGUCUUGAAACACGGACC